rnacentral:rRNA from 1 species
AACGAACGCUGGCGGCGCGCCUAAUACAUGCAAGUCGAGCGAGAAGACGUAGCAAUACGUUUGUAAAGCGGCGAACGGGUGAGGAAUACAUGGGUAACCUACCCUCGAGUGGGGAAGUAACUAGCCGAAGGUUAGCUAAUACCGCGUACGCUCCUUGGACUUCGGUUCAGGGAGGAAAGCGAUACCGUGGGUAUCGCGCUCUUGGAUGGGCUCAUGUCCUAUCAGCUUGUUGGGAGGUAACGGCUCACCAAGGCUUCGACGGGUAGCUGGUCUGAGAGGACAAUCAGCCACACUGGCACUGCGACACGGGCCAGACUCCUACGGGAGGCAGCAGUAAGGAAUAUUGCGCAAUGGGCGAAAGCCUGACGCAGCGACGCCGC